GACGAACGCUGGCGGCGUGCUUAACACAUGCAAGUCGAACGGAAAGGCCCUGUUCUUGUGGGGUGCUCGAGUGGCGAACGCGUGAGUAACACGUGAGUGACCUGCCCUUAACAUUGGGGUAAAAUCUGGGAACAGGGGUGCAUACCGGGCAGGAGCCUCCGCUCCACGGUGGGGGUUGGAGAAUUUCGGCGGAUGGGGAUGGUGGUGGGGGUUAUCAGCUUGUUUGUGGGGGAGGGGGUUACGACGGCUUUGACGGGUAGCCGGCCUUGGCGGGUGACCGGCCACAUUGGGACUGAGAUACGGCGCAGUCUCGUACGUGAGGCAACGGUCGGGAGUAUUACACAAUGGGCGGAAGCCUGAUGCAGCAGCGCCGCGUGCGGGAUGACGGCCUUCGGGUUGAAAACCGCUUUCGCCUGUGACGAAGCGUGAGUGACGGUAAUGAAUAAGGAAGCAACGGCUAACUACGUG
rnacentral:rRNA from 1 species